AUAUCGCCUGAUAAAAAGAUAUAUAAUUUAAUAUCAAAUUAUACAUGUACUUAUACAUAGAGUGACCCAUUUGUAGUGAUACACGCAAUUAUCUUUCGAAUUAUUCGUUAUACUAGAAAAUGUUUCAAAUUAAAUUUACUUUAUUUCGAUGGAGACAUCUUGUGAUGGUCACAAAUCUUAUCUAGGUGGACAUGCCUUCCAGAUUUUAAGAUUAUUCUUUGCUUUUUUUAAUGGAACUAUAUAUAUUAUUCGGAUCGGCGUAUUGCCCAUUUUAUGACAAAAUCACCGUUCUAUGUGUUGUUGUUCUAAGGUCAUUCAAGCUCAUUUUUUGCCGUUCGAAACUUACCUUUGUUAAACAUCCUCAAGAUUUUAUUUACUGGAAUUUAUGUUACAAUUACUUCGAAGGAAUCGGUACUAUUGUGAUUAUCAGUAUGCGUUCUUCGUUUCGAUGCAGGAUGCCCUUUCCACCAACGUCUCCGGGUUUGAUAGCUAUAAUCUUUUUUAUUGCGAUGUUUCAUAAAAGAUCAAUCAUCAUCAAUCAUCAGAUCAAGAUAAUAAUAGAACCCAUUACCCCUGAUAAUAUGAAAAAUCAUAUAAAGAAUAACUGCCAAUCAAUUUUUUCUAAAACAUUAGAGAGGGUGCAACUAUCUUUUAAGAAUAGAAUAAACCAAUGCAUUUAAGUUCCUGGUCAUCAUUUCGAAUACAGAUGAUAAUGGACAAUUUCCAAAUGUUAAAUGAAGGUCAAUGAAUUAGUCACGGAACAGGCUACACGCUUACCUGAACAAAAAUAUACAAAUCCAUUUAAAAUAAUAAAGAUCACUUUGAAAUCUAGAAGGCAUGUCCAUCUAGAUACGAUUUGAUAGAAAAGAUCAUAAGAUGUCCCCCACAAAAUAAAGUAAGUUUAACUAGAAAUAUUUUUUUGCAUAACGAACAGUUUGGGAAAUAAUUGCGUGUCUCACCUCAAAUGGUACAAUUAGAUACAGGGUGAUUCUACGUGAAAAAAUAAAUUGAAAAUAAGAAAUAAAAUUUUUUUUAUAUAACACUUCGUUUCUGAGAAAAUCAAGUUUGAAAAUUUAUCAAGUACACUUGAACAUGGCUAAUUUCGAACUGACAGGUGUAAAUAAUCAAUAGGUUAUUCCAUGUGUGAAAAUAAGACAAAAAUGUACAAUAAAAUUUUUUCAUAAGACGCUUUGUUUCCGAGACAAAUAAAUUAAGAAUUUUAUCAUAGGAGUGUAUUAGGACAAUUCUUAACUAAGAAUUUUUAACAUGUUCAUAUUCUAUUUUUUUUUAAAUGAAGUCUUAAACAAAAAAUCUUGUUCUACACUUUUCAUUUAUUUUCGCAUUUAGAAUAACCUCCUAACUUGUUUACUCAUACCUUGUCGAUGAUUAAUUAAAUUUAAGCAUACUUGACAAAUUUUCAAACUCAAUUAUCUCGGAAACAAAGCCUCGUAUGAAAAAAUUGUAUUCCAUAUUUUCGAUUUAUUUCUGCAUGUAGAAUCGUAUUUGACUAAACUUGAAAUUUUACUAAACCCUUCACAUCUUCAUGAGUGUCGAAAGUACUAAUCAAAAUUUCGAUAAUUGUGGAUCAUUACCUACUGCAGAUAUUUCAAUAUAUUCUGAACCUGGUACAGCAUUUUUAGGUAUAUCAAUUGUAAUAUUCAUCGAUGUAUUUGUUGUACUUCUAAGAUCUAUGAAAGUAGCCCUGUUUACAUAUUGAGUUUCUCCUUCAGCCUGUGCAUAAAUUAGUAGAAAAGUUUAAAUUCACUUUCAAUUAGCGAAAGAUAAAAAAUAAUUUUAUAAAGAAACACUUUACUUUAACAAGUAAUUUACGCUCAACACUAUCUCCAGCUAAUAUACUAUUUGCAGUUGCCUUAAUCGUAAUGUAUCCCAAGUCUCGAGGAACAAUCAUAAAAGAUACACUGCUUCCGGAAUUAGCUUUCACUUCUACCUUUUUCUUACGAUACAAUUCUAAUUCUAGAAAAUUUUUCAUAAGUUACGUUUAUGUUAUAUACUAUAGUUUGUACAAAAUGUUUCGAAAUAAUAGAAUUUUAAUCUCACUUGGUACAUCCUGAACUUCGUUGGACAUUUCUGCGAAAUCAAACUGACCCUCAUUUGUUAACAGAACCUCAGCUACAACAUUUUUGUUCAUAUAAUUGAACACCACAAUUUGGAUUGCAACAAUUUCUCCUCGAAUCACAGAGUAAGGAAAUUCCAUAGA